rnacentral:rRNA from 1 species
AACCUUUACAAUGCACGAAAGUGUGAUAAGGGAACUCAAAGUGCUUAGCUAUGCUAGGCUUUUGCCGAGAGUAAAUAUCUCGGAGAAUAAGUGGUGGGCAAGACUGGUGCCAGCCGCCGCGGUAAUACCCGCAGCCCAAGUGGUGAUCGUUAUUAUUGGGUUUAAAACGUCCGUAGCUGGUCUAGUAAAUUCCUGGGUAAAUCGAAUUGCUUAACAAUUCGAAUUCCGGGUAGACUGCUAGACUUGGGACCGGAAGAGGUCAGAAGUACUUCUGGGGUAGGGGUAAAA